rnacentral:rRNA from 1 species
UUGAACGCUGGCGGCAGGCCUCACACCUGCCGGUCGAGCGGAUGAAGGGAGCUUGCUCCUGGAUUCAGCGGCGGACGGGUGAGUAAUGCCUAGGAAUCUGCCUGGUAGUGGGGGAUAACGUCCGGAAAUGGGCGCUAAUACCGCAUACGUCCUGAGGGAGAAAGUGGGGGAUCUUCGGACCUCACGCUAUCAGAUGAGCCUAGGUCGGAUUAGCUAGUUGGUGGGGUAAAGGCCUACCAAGGCGACGAUCCGUAACUGGUCUGAGAGGAUGAUCAGUCACACUGGAACUGAGACACGGUCCAGACUCCUACGGGAGGCAGCAGUGGGGAAUAUUGGACAAUGGGCGAAAGCCUGAUCCAGCCAUGCCGCGUGUGUGAAGAAGGUCUUCGGAUUGUAAAGCACUUUAAGUUGGGAGGAAGGGCAGUAAGUUAAUACCUUGCUGUUUUGACGUUACCAACAGAAUAAGCACCGGCUAACUUCGUG